AAAAACGCCCUUUUCAGGGCGACUAAAACAAUGCAUAAAGAGUUU
rfam:Lutzomyia longipalpis Contig11735, whole genome shotgun sequence.